ensembl:lincRNA
GUGAGGACUCCGGCAGGAACUCCACGUUCAGCACCAGACCUGUACUAGCUCCGCAGAACCUCUGUGCUCCCAGGGAAUGAGGGCGGAUGCCUCCUCCUCAGCGUGAUUCUGCUUACAAAAGGCUCAGGCUGUGCUCAGGACGCUCACUCAGUGACCUCUAGGUGCCAAAGCCCCAGCCCAGGGGCAAGUGAGCUGCUUCCCAGGAGCAGCACCUCCACCUAUCCACACUGCUCUAAGCUCUGAUACAUCCUAAACGAGUCCAGCUCAGGCCUCUCCGCUCAGCACACUGCACCCAGUCUGCCAACCACAGAUAAGGACUGUGAGGUCCAAGAGCGGGCCGUUUUCUGUGUCAUGAAGAGGGUGAGUGGUGUGGCAGAGAUAGGGCCCCAGCACACUGCAAACUCGUCACUGUGCUCUGCAGACUCUUGGGAAGCUCUUGUGACCUCCCAAAGGAACAGUCACAGAACCUACAACUUGAGCUAUAGCCCCAGCCCUUUCUUAUUUUUUAUUUUGAAACAGAGUUCUAGUAAGUUGCACCAGGUGGCCUUGAACUUCUUCUCCUCCUGACUCAGCCUCUGUAGUAGCUGGGAUUACAGGCGUGCACCACCCAGGCGGGCUAGAAUUAUCUGGCCUUUGCACUCCUUCGAAAAGUCCUUUUUCCUGCUGUCUAGCUGUGAGUACUGAUCCACUGAGCUCAACUGAACAGUUGGCUUCUACACAAGGCAAGCAGUGAGACAAUGUCAUGGUCAGCUUGCUUUAAUCUAGAAGGGUUUGGAGUUUGAAAGAAAUUAAACAUCUAUGAACAGGCAUCUACCAUGUUCCAGUGACUAAGAUGAGGACGGAAAAAAUGUCGAGAGUUGGGCAUGGCGGCACACACCGUGAUCUGGUAGGCUGAGGCAAGAGGAUCACCAGUUCGAAGCUAUAUGAGGCAACCAUGGACCCUGAGGCUGUUUUCCUCACCAGAUAAUGCCAGCAGUAGACAGCUGCAGAGGCCACAUACACAGGAUGCCUAUUUCCAACUACUUAGAAGACAACCACCACAGUGCUGGCUAAGGCAGCGAGGAGAUGAAAGGAAGUUAGCUCUCCGCCAUUUUUGUUGCCAUCAGAACCCGCUCCCACACAAGCCAGCUGGGGCAGCACUGAAGACCGUCCACGUAGGUUUUGGGCAGCUACAGCGUUUCCCUAGACUCACUGCAAGGCCACCUGUCCCUCUGCGUGCUGGUGGGCACUGCCGCCUCAGGCACCGCCUGGAGCUUCUCCCCUGGGCUUUGCAUGCAACUUCCCCGUGCUGCAAACGAGGCCUGCCCAUCGCCGUGGCUCCCCAGUGCCCACCGCUGACCGAGGUCUCAGGACGUCUUUUCCAAAGCCAGGCAGAGCAGCAGCUAGGUUGCCCCACUCCCUAGAGGCCCCUGGCCCCAGGCUUCCUCGGUGUGUGAGUCCCACAGGAGAAGGAGGCUUACGCCCAAAGUCAAGCCUGAUUCACCCUCCCCAUCAGGUCUGGAUCACUAAGCUGCUGGCUGACCUUUACCCAGGCCUAGAACUGUUCCUUAGGGCCCCGCCAGCAGCCCGCGAAACGGCCGGUAAAGAGCAGGGGUCGCUCACCAGGUCACAGGGGCUGUCCAGCAGAGCCCAGCUCCUGGCCCUGGCACACGGGUGCAAGGUGGCUCCAUCCAUGAGCACCACUGCUGCUGGCCCCUGCAGGAAGAUGAGGUUCCAAGCAGGAAAGCAGAGAAGGCGGCUGUGGCUACGCAGCCAGGAUAGAAUACAGAGAAGGCUUAGCAGGGACACUCAAUUCUCCUCCUCACUUUUUUAAGGAUAAAAUUCAAGGAUGAGAGUUUUCCAAUUUUACAUUGACUUUAAGGCAGAGACUUUUUAAAAUAACACAGCAAAUCAAUCAAUCAAUAAAUAACAGCAACAGUCCAGCAUGGUUGAUCAAGCCUGUGAUCCCAGCACUUGGGAGGCUGAGGCAGGAGGAUCACCAUGAAUUUGAGGAAGGCCUAGACUGCACAUUGAGUUUAAGGCCAGCCUAAAGUGCUUGUCUCAAAAAAAUAAAAUAAAAAUGUUUAAAAAGACAUAGCCACAUUUUAUUAUCAAGUGUUUUCAUAUUAUUAUUAGUUAACAUAUUGAUAAAAAUUCCCAUUAAACAUCAAAUAUUCAGUUAGUUUUUUAAUUUAAUUGCUACAAUCGAGAUAUUUUUAUGACAGGAUAGACAGGUCUCUUGGGAUUCUUCAUAUUUUAUUGCUUACAAUUUACUUGGGGCGUGGCUGAAAAUCCUAACCCCCAAUCAAGCUUGGAGUUCGGUGACCCAGCCCCUGGGAAGGGCAGUCAGGGCGCCCCCCUGCCGUGGGCUCAUUAGCAUAUGAAAAGAUGCCUACCACUCUAAAGAUACCCAGGAUUUUAGGAGCUGUGUGCCAGGAAAUUGGCCAAAGAUUAAAUGCAUGUUUCAUAAUAGUGCAUUGUAUGAUUGUAUUGUUGUAUUAUUUUGCAUUCUCAAUAACUACUUACAGUACUUUCCCCCACACAGUCUUGUUUUUAAAAAAAGGAAAAAACGUGCGGUCAAAUUUUUGACUUUUGUCACUCUGUUAGAUCCAACAUGAGAGCUAGGUGUAGUGUCAUUUUGUCUCUUACUAUGCAUGGUUAUCUUUUUUUCUUUUUUUUUUUUUUCCCACAGUACUGGGGAUCGAACUCAGGACCCUGUGCUUUCGAGGCAAGCGGCAGAACCACUAAGCUAAAUCCCAGGUCCCUCAGACCUGUCUUUUUAAUUUUAUGUUUUUGAGAUACUGGGGACUGAAGCCAAGGGCUUCACACAGAGCUUUAUCCCUAACCAUUUUGUUGUUUCGUUUGUUUGUCUGUUUUAAAGACAGGGUCUUGAUAUGGUGCCUGGCUGGGCUCCAACCUGAGUCUUGCCUCAGCCUCAUGCAGCAUUUGCCACCACGCCCAGUUCUGAGAAUCUUUUUAUAGUAAAGGAACAUGAUAAAAAUAUGUAUCUCUUCUGAUGGGUUGAUAUUACAGAAUAAGAGUUUUCAAAUAAAAUCAUCACAAAGAUAAUAAGAGCUAUUAAACAUACGGCUUAAAGAUGCAGGCGAUGUAAACCAGGUGAGGUGGCACAUAUCUGUAAUCAUAGCACUCUGGGAGAGGAUCAAACAUUUGAUUCUAACCUGAGUAAAUUAAAAACUUAGUGAGACCCUGCCUCAGAAAAAAGGCUGAAGCCAGGUGUGGUGGCACAUGCCUGUAAUCCCAGCACUUGGGAGGCUGAGGCAGGAGGAUCGCUGUGAGUUCGACACCAGCCUAGACUACACAGUGAGUUCAACUACAUAGUGAGACCCUGUAUCAAAAAAAAAGACUGAAGAUGUAGCUCAGCGCAAAGGUCCUCGAGUUUAAUCUCCAAUACAUUCCCCCCCAAAAAAGAAAACCUUGGAAAAGUUAGCAACCCUCCCGCAAGCACACAGACUUCCUUCUUGCCAGCUCCUAGAAUCCAAGCUGACUCACUGAGGCCCUGGCCCCAAGCUGAUGGAGGCAGGUGAAGGGGCACAGAAACACAGGCCCUGUGUGCUCCGCAGUCCCAGAGGUGUGGGGACCCCGGAGCUGAGGGAUGUGUUGCAAUGGGCCGAGGAGGAAAGUCUUUCCGGCCCUAAAGAGGCCAGAGCAGAGUUAGACAAGGUCAAAACAGAACUAGCCUGGGAGCGGUGCAGAAGAGGAGGUGAGGAGUGCCCAAGUGCCCGGGAACCACAGUGAGGGUGCAGACCAGAUCCACCACAGCUGAACACACAGCCAUGACAUGGCCUGCAGCGGGCACCGGUGGCCAGAUGCUGCACCACAAGCAACAGGCGGCCAGGGCCUCGGGCGGGAGCCCUGCGGCAUUCUGGUUCUGGCGGUCACUUCUACUCAGGACUAACACCCGAGAAGUAGGAAACAUGGCACCGCGUGACUUACUACACAGAUUCCACCAUGAUGUGGCAGUGAGGAUAGUGAGAGACGAGCUACCAUCGAUGAGACACCAUUUCACGAAGUUCUGAGAUUCUCUUCUGGAAGUAAUUAGACAUCUACACAAACCCCCAUGACUAAACCCCACGACUUCCCCUCUCCUCACACCCAUCACCCUCAUCCAGACUACCAGGGCAGCCGCCCCACCCAGGGCAGAGAGCAAGUGACUCACCAUCCUCACCCUCCUCCAGCGCAGGCACCCGGUAAGUACCUGGCCAGCGGGAGAAGGGAGCCGACUCCCACAGCAACAUGCCCGGACCUUCCCGGCCUUUCUCCUGAAUGCUCCCUCAGGGCCACGCCCUCCAAGCUCUCCAUGCCUGUGCAAACAUCGAUCCAAUGCCAGUGGCCUUGGUGCCAGGCGCUAUUCUUGGCACCCGGGUGGAAAGAUGACUAACACGUCAACAGCCCACAGGGAAUCGGCCACAGAGGAGGGGUGCAGGCUAUAAAACUCGUGGGAAACUGCCACCACGGCAGGAGGGUGCUGUGGGAACGCAGGCGCGGGAGGAGUGACGUGCAGAGGUGGGGGGAAAAGGCGAGGCGCCAACGCAGGCCCAGCGCGCGUGCACACACGCACACCCAUGUCCAUAUUUGCAAAACAGAAGCAGAAAACUGGGUAGCAGCUGAGAAGCUGCUGUGAGAAAGCAGGGAGGCUGAGGCAAGAAGGUCACCAGGGUCAAGUCCAGCCUGAACUACUAUACCUAUCCAGACACUAUCUCAAAACACAAAAACAAGCCAGGCACACACUUGGUGGCGCAUGCUUGCGAUCCCAGCACUUGGGAGGCUGAGGCAGGACUGCUGCAAGGCCAGCCUCAGACACCCAAUGAAUUCAAGCCAGC